UUUAUGUUUUGCACAAGUUCUAGACUCUUUUCUCUAUAUUUGCUUAGGUAUAGUGAUUAGAAAAAGACAACUUAGAGAUAAAUUGCUUUCUUGAUUUGUAUGUAGUGUUUAUACUAUCUUAUGAGUGAGUUUUUCUUAUUUGUGAUUGGAAUGAGCAAGUUCACUUUAAUGUUGGAGUUCAAGCGCUAAGGCUCCCAUAUAAGAUAUAUAUGAAAAAUCACGUUGUUGCAAUCUUUGAAGUGUGCAAUAUAGCUCUUGCUUCCAGUUGACAUGAAGUCUUCCAAAGUAAGUAAAGUUCACCAUCAUCCAUACUUUACCUUAGCCUCUAUUUUGAACCUAUGAAGGUUUUUUAUGUUCAUGCUUCUAUUGACUAAUUUUUAUGAUACAUGAGCAGUCUUCAUCUGGCUUUAUGCCUCUUUUCUCGCUUCCUCUUAGCUGGCAUGAACUUUUGAUGAGAGGAAUAGCUAUGUCUUGGUGGUGCUAUAUUGAUUACAAUAGUGAUUUCUUCUUAGAAAGAAAAAACCUGUGAUUGUAGCCUUUUAAUGGUUAAAUAUGGUGGAUAUUUCAUUCUAUGAAAAAAAAAAGGUUUGGUGAAUAUCUCACUGUUCAGACCUCUUUUUAACGAAGAGUUUCUAGGUGUUCUGCAUUAUUUGAUACUAUUAGAGUGUGUGAGAGAGAGAGAGGGAGAGUAUGAAAUCAGAAUACACGUCUUUAUCCGUAAUUAGGCAAAUUAUAAUGAUGUUUCUUUUGUACUAUUUCCUUAUCUUACACAUAAAUUUAUGAAAAUAGCUCUUUUGUUUGUUGUGACUUCAAGCAUGAUGAUUCUACUUUAUUUCUUUUAGCCCAUGAUUACUGAAGUUUGUGAUGACACAGAGGCUGCUAAUUAAGCUGAAACUUAGCAUUUGCAUUUUGUUUUCCUAUUUCUGUGUUUCAAGCUUACUUCAUGAUCAGUACCACUACUUUUUUCUUUGUUGGAGAGAUUUUGGUGUACUGAAAAAAAUGUUACUUCAUCAUAUAGAUGGGAUUUUAAGACUUUAAUAAACUAAAGAAGACGGAAAUAACCAAAGGGAAGCUUGAAUUUAGAAGCAUUGGGUUUACAUUGACAAUUCAAUCUUGUGAAUCAAAAUUUAAAAUUUGCUACGAUUUCUGUGUAGUUGCGUAAAUUUUAGAAAAACAGUUUCAUACCAAGUUCCUGCUUCACCAUUGUGUCUUCCUUAUUUCUUACCUUUUACGAAAUUCUUCCUUUAAAUUUUGUGGAUAACUGCAAAUUUCAACCUUUGGCUAUCUUUUGUAAUGCAGGUUCAAAUAUUUUGUCAAAUUGAAAAAAAGGACUUAUGACAACAAAGGUUUAUAGAGUGGUCACAUUUCAAAAGGGAUCGUCUUCUUUUGUCCAUUAUGUAAAUGGGUUCUCUCAUUGUGGAUGAAGAAUUGAGUGCUGCUGAGUGGGAAAAAAUGGCGCUUCUUUCAGUAUAAAAACGGAUUGUAUUACUUUUGAGGUAACUGGAUAUAAAUCGUUCCUUACUGCCAUAAAAACGCUUCCUUUUUUAUUUUAUGAAUUUUGGGUAUCAAUUUGAGUUUUUUUUUUUCUGAUAUGUUGUAUCUUCUUCUUACAUAUUCAUGGAUUUUCUUUUCCCGAGUUUGUUACCUAUUAGGACCUGCAUGCUCUGAUUUGUGACAACUUCCCAUUCAUCUUCCAGUUAGAGAAUCAGUUUAUCUUUGCUACCGUUUGCUUCAAGAGUUGAGUGAGAAAAAUUCCUCAGUUGAUUCUUGAGUUCCAUAAGGCGUGAUCGAGUAAUUGCCCUAUGAGAAUAUGCAUUCUUUUUAUUUGAUUGGUAAUUUUCUUCUCACCUACAGAAGAAGAUAAAUCUAAAAUAGUGAGAUUCUUCUUCUCUCUUUUCUAUUUUGCUUUCUUCUGAGUACUUUGGUAAUAUAUACGAGUCAUAUAAAUGAUUCUAACUACUACAUAUUCAUCUAACAUGUUUGAUUAUAUGUCUGAAUGCAUAUAAAAUUGCUUUCGCGUGGAAUAAAAAGGCAUAGUACAAUGGAAGUGAAGAGCAUUAUAGGAUCUGAAGGAGGAAGAGUAGGGGAAUUGAAAAGGACGUGGCUGAGUAGCUAAUCUCUUCGAGUCCACGUGUUUUUUUACAGGUACCUCAGACGUCUCCAUAUAGUGUGGUUUGGAAUGAAAGAGGCUAACUACUAAGCUUGGGACUAUAACUCAUGCUCGGUGGGAAUGAUGAAUUUGGAUGUACUUGUUAUGUGUGCUUGAAGAUACAAUGUAUUUAGGUGUUCUGCACAUAUUAUCGAUAAAAGUAUCUACUAUGCACAAUGAUAUACAAAAAAGUUUUUGGGUUAUGGUAUCUACUUCCCACAUUAAUAACUCAUGGCUUCCAGAUUUUGUCAUUGCAUUGAUGUGAAAGUUGUAAUUUUGGAUAUAUACUUAAGUGGUUUACCAUUGGCAAUGGUAAUUUGAGAUAAUGAUGUUUACUAUUUUCCAGAGUGGUAUAGUGUUUUAGCUUUUAGCUAGAUGUAUUACAGUUUGGGAUGAUAUUGUGCAGAUCCUAAAUAAAGAAGUAUUCCCCUUACA